GAUGAAGAACGCAGCGAAAUGCGAUAAGUAAUGUGAAUUGCAGAAUUCAGUGAAUCAUCGAAUAUUUGAACGCACAUUGCGCCCGCCAGUAUUCUGGCGGGCAUGCCUGUUCGAGCGUCAUUACAACCCUCAGGCCCCCGGGCCUGGCGUUGGGGAUCGGCGGAAGCCCCCUGCGGGCACAACGCCGUCCCCCAAAUACAGUGGCGGUCCCGCCGCAGCUUCCAUUGCGUAGUAGCUAACACCUAGCAACUGGAGAGCGGCGCGGCCACGCCGUAAAACACCCAACUUCUGAAUGUUGACCUCGAAUCAGGUAGGAAUACCCGCUGAACUUAAGCAUAUCAAUAAGCGGAGGA
rnacentral:misc_RNA from 1 species